CAUUUUUCCUUGCUUACUGAAGAUUCCAUCACUUUAUAUCAUGUACAACUGCCCUGUCCAACUCCGAACUGGCAGACCAUUAUCAGCAUUUGAAAACUGACAGUGCAAACCAGGAGAUGGGAAAGGACUUUGUAUAUCCUUGCACACAGAGAGGAGAUGAGUGUGUGAAGGACAAUCAACAAUCACGGACAAGGAGCAUUGCAUUAAAAACCACAGAAACAUUUUUUUUUCAACAAUCUCACUAUGAAAUAAAGAUUUUGCUGUGGAUGAGACUUGCUUUCUCCUGAACCCCUGGGUAUUUUGUGACAAUCAGUUCAACAGAGAAUUUCAACAAUUAAGAACAGGGCAGAAAUCAUCUUCUUGUUGGAAGUGAGGAAGGAAGGAAAGGAAUAAUUUUGUUGAGGGCACCUUUUUUAUCCCAAACUUAUCUUUAUGUGAAGGACUGUAUGAGUGAAUCGCAUGAAGAGUUGGAAGAGUUGUUUUGCAGAAUUUCAGAGUCUACAUUACUGAAGGAUUCCUGCACUUUCCUCUAAGAUGAAAUUUUUAUUCUGUUCCUGUUUGGAAAAUGUCACAUUUUGAGAUUUCUGAGCAAUUUUCUGUUUUGGCCCUGUUCCUUCUGACCCAGAGUAUAUGGAUAAAAGUCACUGCUACAGCAGCUGUAGAGGUGAAGGUGCCUGGACUUGGUGUUCUCUGUUAGGCCCACUCAUUCAGUGUACAGAGAUCCCCAUGGAGAUACAGAAGAAUUAAUAUAAAGGAUAUUCAGGGCAGCCAAAGGCAGGGUAAGGACUGAAGAGUCUUCCAUACUGUGAUGGAAAGAACAGCAUCAUCCCUAAAAGCAAUGGAACAAACAGCUCCAGCUUCUGCUUUACCUGCAGAAGUAGGUCCUGUUUAUACUGGAAAGAUCUACAGAUUACAGCAGAAGUUAACCACAGCUUACCUGAAAACUCUCAUCUAACUUGAGUCUAAGAAGCAGAUGCUGCCCUCUUUUACACCGGUGCAAUUCUGGAAUAACUCCACUGACGUCAGUGAAGUGAAAUUUAUCCCAGUUGAAAGCAGAAUUGGACCACAGUCUCAUCAUCUGCUUAUAUGCUAUGGUGCUCUCAGGAAGGUGCACCAUUACCAUACCAUAAGGUAUGAUUUGAAAGAGGGUAGCAGUGGUCAACAUGCUCAGUGUGGAACAUGUCUUGUCAGCCAUGCUCAGAGCUGGACCUGUUGUGUGGGGUUUCAAGCAACAUGUGCAGUGAGGCUGGAUUCUGGAUGGUGCAAGGCUGUUGUGUCAGAAUGCUGCAAAAGACGUUGCAUCUCCUCCUCAUGGUGUUGGUGAAGUUUCCCUCUGUGCAGGGAAUACAGCAUUUAUGGACAGGAAACUGCUUUCCUUGCUUAGAGGUUUUCUUAUUUUUUUUAAAGGGGUUAGCAUGCUUAGUUACAGGAAACUGAAAUUAGAUGUGAACAGGGGUUGGAGGAAGGAGGCAGGGAGAAUCCUCUACAAGAUUCAAAUGUGUAUGAUUUCUGGGAAAACUAAAUAAAACAGAAUUUAAUUCCCAGUGUCUAAAUAGCAGCAAUUUUUCAUCUAUUAAUCAAAAGACCCAGACAAGCACUGAGUAGUGUGGGAAGCUGGAAAUGGACAUAGGACACCUCCAAACCAUUCUGUUACUGACACCUAUUUUAAAUCUUUUUUUCAAGUGGAGGACCCAGUCCUGGCAAAUGCGUAAAGUCAGCCCUUAGAAGAGCACAAAGCUUUCUCUAGAGAACUGAAUAGCUGGUGAAAGCAUGCCCAUUUGUCUGCCUGUCUUUUGCCAAUGGAUAACUGUGCUUUUAUAGACUGUUUUCAUAGCUCAGAUAAAUGGUAGAAGCUUAACAUAGCUCUACAAAUAAUAAUCAUCCUGAUCAUGCAUAAUAUGCGUUAUGUAAGAGGUGGGCCCAAACUAGAGAUAUUUCUCAUUUCCCUAUGAAGUGUCUUGUUUGAGUGUAUUUGGAGUUAGUUCUUCUUGUGAACAUGUGAGUCUAUUGCCUGCUUUAAAGGAGGUAGUGACUUAGUUUCAGUGGCUGUAGAGAGUUUCACUGAAAUAACACUGUUUAUAGUCUUUCAUGUGAUUUAGAAGGCACAAUUGCCAUAUAGUUCUGAAAAUGUAAUAUAAUUGUAUACAGUGUUCAUGGGAAAUGUUCUGAAGUUUUUUCCCACUGCACCAUUGUGAUGAAAACCUCUGUUGCUCUUCACACUCUGUGAGCCCAUGCUGUACUAUGCUGAAGCUGAUGGGAAACCCACUUAGUAAUGGGAAGUGAUGGACAGAGAGGGAUGCUCUGGCCUGGAAUCUCCUCUCUUUGGCAAUGGCACAGGUAGAAAGCAUCUCCUAAUGUGACAGUUCUUGGCACCUGUAACAAGCAAGGAUUGUAAUAUCUCCUCAUGGCUGCUGACUGAGAGUCUGGUCCUCUGAUAAGAUGUGACCUCCUGGAUACCUGUGACUCAAAAAGAUAAUCGGUGUCUAUAGGACUGGGCUUAAAGCAACUAUGACAUGGGAAAUCCAAAGAUACUUAUGGAGCAAGUCUGCGGAGUAGUCUUGAGCAUGGAUGUAAAACCACAGUUCCUAGGAGGCAAUAUUCACCCUGUAUUGAUAUUAUUUGGGUGCAAACAAUGCAGAGACCUACUCUGACUCUCAGUGCAGGACAGCUUGCAGUGUGAGGCUUCUUAGAUCUGUGUGACAAGGCAACAUGACUGGCAUUGGGCAGCCAGAGCUGCCACAAACCCUUCUUGCAUGGGCAGUUGUCUUCAGAGGUAGACAAAGUGUAGGCUGCCUGCUGCAGAAGUCUGUGAGCCUUCAGAUGCAUGGCAUGCAGAUCAGAGACUUUAGGUGAUACUGUGUGCCACUACAAACAGCGUGGAUAUUGGUUGCAGGACCCUUUUGCUUUUGCUGUGAAAUCUAACUCCUAGACGUUAUUUAAAGGAAAACAGUUGGGAUUUGCAGGCCAGGUCAUGUGGUGACGAAAGUAUUUCCAGUGCCCUCAUUGGAGCCAGGCUGAUUUAUACAAGUCUAGUCCAACAUUUCUGAGAAAUUGUGGAUGAUAGGUUUUUUUGUUGUUGUUGUUGGCUGCACUGAAAACCUGAAGCCUUUCAAAUAAAGUAUGUGAAGGAAACAGAAUUUUUAGAUGGAAUAGUGAAAAUGCUGUUUUCUGGACUCAGACUUUGAGACAAGUUUUUUGCAGAACCCACAUGUUGUGAGAGAAGAGGGUAUUGGGCUUGAAAGCUGACCAAUGAAAUGGGACUCAACUGAGCUUUGAAAAGCAAUUAUUGUCCUUAUUGGUGUUGCCAUAAUAUAUGCUUAACUCAAACCCAAUCUUGCAAAGGCCAGAACCCAAUGAAACCAUGUAACUAGGUAUUUGUGAUUGUUCCUGUCGGUGUGAUCCACUGUUGAAUAGGCUGGAUAUAUGAAUAAAACCAAUAUUUUUUAAAGUGUUGUGUGUUUUUCAUGUCAAAAAGACUGGUUGCUCUCUGGUACUUUACUAUGUCCAUAUGAAGUAUUUUAUGUGGGAUUAAUACAACUGUACGGCUUUCUUAGGACAAUUGGCAGCCACUUGCUGAAGAACACCUUUUCUUCCUCGGAGGUGAUUGUUGCAGUACUGCACUGAACACCAGUAAACUGGGUCUGACUGGGUUGGAGUUAACUCUCCCUGCAGUGGCCCAUACAGUGCUGUGCUCUGAACUUGUAGCUAGAACAGCAUUGCAAUCACACUAGAGUUUUGCCUAUUGCAGAGCAGUGCUGGCACACCAUCAAGACUCCCUCUAACCCAGAACCAACAGGCUGGGGUUGGCAAGAGUGGAGGAGGGGACAUCACCAGGUCAGCUGACCUAAACCAACCAAAGGGAUAUUCCAGGUGGGAAAGGGGAAAGAGAAGGAAGUGCUUUUUUUAUGAAAACGUUUGUCCUCCCAAACAACCACUAUGGGUAUUGAGGCCCUGCUUCCCAAGACGUGGAUAAACAUUGCCUGCUAAUGGAAAGUAGAGAAUAAUUGUUUUCCCUCUUUUUGCUUCCACGUGGCCUUUGCUUGUCUUUUUUUUUUUUUUUUUUUUUUAUGUGUCUUUUCCUUUAGUUAAAUAACCCUUAUAACCCUUAUCUCAAACUGUGAGCCCCCCCUCUUUUUUUUUUUUCCUCUUCAUAUUUCCCCACACACACUUCGAGGAAGGGGAGUGAGAGAGAGGUGUGCUGGAGUUCGGUUGACCAUCCAUGUGAAAACACCACAUCCUGUCACAUGUAAAGAUGUAAAGAUAACUUGGUAUGUCCUCCUCCUAGUCCUGUAAUGGUCGUCCCUUUAUUCUUUGACAGAGCAGUCAAGGCCACUCAAUGUUCCAUCAAAGUAUGGGUAAGGGGAAGAGUGUGUGUCUCACACCUGCUGCUACUGCCUGUGUCCCUCCCUUUGUCUUAUGGCUUUACAAAUACCAAAC
rnacentral:lncRNA from 1 species